CCUACGGGGUGCAGCAGUGGGGAAUAUUGGGCAAUGGAGGCAACUCUGACCCAGCAACGCCGCGUGAAGGAAGAAGGCCUUAGGGUUGUAAACUUAUGUUGUAAAGGAAGAAAAGAAUGACGGUACUUUACAAGAAAGCCCCGUCUAACUAUGUGCCAGCAGCCGCGGUAAGACAUAGGGGGCAAGCGUUGUUCGGAUUUACUGGGCGUAAAGGGAGCGUAGGCGGGAGAUUAAGUUAAGAGUGAAAGCCUUGGGCUCAACCCAAGAAAUGCUCUUAAUACUGGUUUUCUAGAGUGUGGGAGAGGUAAGUGGAAUUCCUAGUGUAGCGGUAGAAUGCGUAGAUAUCAGGAGGAACACCGGCGGCGAAGGCGGCCUGCUGGACCGCGACUGACGUUGAGGCUCGAAAGCGUGGGGAGCGAACAGGAUUAGAUACCCCUGUAGUC
rnacentral:rRNA from 1 species